rnacentral:lncRNA from 1 species
CACAAGGUGAUUAGUGGAAAAAGAAGCCCUCAUUAUGUUACGGCAGCCAAAGCACUGAGCCGUGAGGGUUGUAUGCUGCCCAUCCUAAAUUUGUUUAUUCUGUCUAGGAUAUGCCUCCAUUACAGAUCAUCCUCUCUGCUCCAGUGCUACUCUAAUUGAGUUAUCUGCAGACUUGCACACAUAAAACCAGCAUUAUGCUUAUCUAAUCAAAAGGGACCUCCUUAGAAUUGAAUCUCUCUUUUUCUGUUUGUGUGUACACAUAUGUGUCUGUAAGCAAUAUAGUAUUCUGUAAUUACUCUACUGAUCAUUCUGUGAAUGUCUUUUGCUGAAUUAAGAGCAAGUUUCUUGAAGUUGACAGGGUCUGCAGAUAAGCUUCAAGAAAUAUAAAUCCCCUGAAAUGAUGGCCUUUUAAAAUUGUUUUCUAUGCAUAGGUGCAUCUCAUCUCUAGUUUUUAUCAGAUUUUCAACGGAGCCUUUUUUCUUUCUUUUAAACUAGGAACCUCUAGUGAAGGUGCUGCAUAAGUUUGAAAAGGGGAGAACUUACAGUGGUCCAGAUUCCAGCUCUGAUACUUGCUGGUUUUGCUAUAUAUUCUUAUCACUGUCCUAGAUUUAGGAAGAUUAGAAGAAUUGAUUACUCACUCUAGCUAAUUCAUAAUAAUCUGAGGUAUGUUAACUGGAAUACAAUUAACUAAUUUAAAUAGUGCUGCAUCAAUUCAGUAGAUAGGGUAAUUUUAGGGCAGAACAUUGUCCUACUUGCCUGCUCUCUCCAUUUAAGCAAAUUACAGAAGUCAAAUUAUCAAUGCAUUUGUUGCUAAGCAACCAGUUUUCACAAGAGAUAUUUCUGUUAGAUGAACUAUAGUUCAGUUGGUCUGGAAAAUACCCUCUUCCUUAGACCAUGUUUGAAUAGGUUUCUGAUAACUUUGGAGAUUGCGACAUCAGGAUAGAGGAAAAACUUUCAGGAUUCAUGAAGAGCUGAAAUGCUUAUGAAUGUCAAGCAGAACAGGAACUAACCAUACAGACUGAACUAACAGAAGACAAGUAAUCUUUUUUGUUUUGCUUAAAAUGAUGCUGAUUCUUUGUUUUGUUUUCCAGAGUCAAGGAAACUUUUCUUUUGCACUAUUGACAGCUUUUAACAAUUAAGUAUACUCCUAUAAACAAAAUUUGAAUCAUACUUGUUUCUCUCUACCUGAUUCCUCCAGAAUUUGGAAAGUAUUUGUGAAUAUUCUUAACUUAUUAUAUAGUUAUUUGCAUAAGUGCAAUAACAAUCUAUU